GGUAGCGUGGCAGGGUCGGUCGCCGGUGUGGCGUUUGCUUGGUCUUUGUUCUGUUGGAGGGAUGUCUUUGGCGAUGUUGCCGCUGACAUACUGACGCGGUACGCAAGGAGCCAGGGGUGGCUGAUCCUGGGGAGAGAAUGGGAAUGGGGCCCGGCCAUGGACGUGAGGGUCCCCCCUGCGUUUCUCUCUCGCGGCGGUGUUUUCCGUUGUCGGAUUAGUGAAAUACGGUUCUAGUAUGUCGCGCGUCAAUCUAAAACCCUCUGCAUCAAGCUAAAACAGUGUGUACAGAAGGUUUUAUUGCAUCCCUUUCUUUCGUUUGUCUGCCUUUUCGGUCGUGGCUCGUCACUUUCUUCUGCCAUGCGGCCCUGGCAGCAAUUCUGCCGUCACCCGAGAUAUACCUAUAUGCUCAAGUCGUGAGAAUUCAUCCCAUUGCAGGCUGAGAAUGGUCGUGGGAAAAGUUGCCUUGUCUCUUUUUCCAUCCCUGACCGGGUUUACCCUUCCUUCUUUCUUCCUGAUACUUUUACUUUUUCCUCCGACAUUCUCUUUCGUUCAACACUUUCCCCUUGUGUCCUUUAUUUCCCUCCGCCUUUCCCCAGACUCAACAGAGCGUUUCCCGGUUCUUUGGCGACACCUCUAGCCAGCUCUGAUCCCUUUAUUCAAUACUCGAUUAUUCGUGCCACCAUUCGCUCCAUCGAUUUCUUACGAUCGCACAGUGGGAAUCCUAAACGUCACUCUUUUCCUUCGGGAUCCUGGGGUUACGCUUUCUCGUGUCCCGUUAUCUUUCUUUGGUAUUCACCUCCCUUAUCUUUUAUCGCCUAUCCGAGCGACCUUUUGUCGCCCUCAGAUGUGCCCAGUCGUCAGCAACGGCACUCCACGGUAUAUUUCCCCUAUUACAGAUUUCUUCCCCUUUCCAUUCUACUCAAUCCACGGCCAGCAUCUAUUUCCUGUCUUUUCACCUAAACCUUUUUAUCAACCGAGACUCUUGUCCAAACAAACCUCCACCUCAGUUUGUAUAUGAGCGCAAUCUAUCGGUAUUCACUGACUGCGCCAAUCUAUUCUGCAAUGCCUCGGCCAGGCGAGGGAUGAUCGGCCAGGCGAGGGAUGAUCGGCCAGGCGAGGGAUGAUCGGCCAGGUGAAGGAUGACGGGAUGUAUGCGGAAUGGGUUCGCAUUGGCGAUGCAGGGUACGCAAAAGGCCUAUUCAUCCAUCCACCACCAGCUGGAAACUGACAGAUGCUCCAUUCACCAUGUCGUAUUGAUGGAGCUUCCAACAGUCAUCGGUUGCAGAGCCAUACGAAUUCAGCUGUAUGGCCAAAAGCUUCCACUUCACCAGCGUAACUUUCCUCAAGCGCUGAGGAAUCUGACUAUUAUCUGGCAGGGAUAAGUCAGUGGGACACUGGUGUAACAUACAGAUCCGACAAGAUAAUUCCUCUUUGCUCCAGCCCAAGGUAUCUCUUCAGGCAUGGAUGUGUGUCCGAUGCUGAUACCGAUGUCGAUGGGCUUUGGGAGCAUUAAUGUGGGGAUGAUUGCGAGAGGCAAAGAGUGCAGGGUAAAAAUGUAUCCGCAUCCUGUCCAUCCGUGGGCAGCUACAAAAAUACGAUGCCAAGACUUUGUGGGUUAAUUAAACAACUGACAGCUGCCGAACAAUUACUAAAAGAGGUCACCCCCAUCGAUGAUGAGGAAUGUGGCACGGCUCGAUCCUGAGAGUUGGCUAUUGGAGGGAGGCCUGGGCUACGUACAAGCCCUGCAAGAGCGGUCUCUUCUGGCAUGGUAGAAUAGGAUUAAUACGUUUAUGCAAUUCCUCCUAUUAACCUCGU
rnacentral:sRNA from 1 species